AGAGUUUGAUCAUGGCUCAGGACGAACGCUGGCGGCGUGCCUAAUACAUGCAAGUCGAGCGGACCGAACGAGAGCUUGCUCUUGUUUGGUCAGCGGCGGACGGGUGAGUAACACGUGGGCAACCUGCCCGCAAGACCGGGAUAACUCCGGGAAACCGGAGCUAAUACCGGAUAACACCAAAGACCGCAUGGUCUUUGGUUGAAAGGCGGCUUCGGCUGUCACUUGCGGAUGGGCCCGCGGCGCAUUAGCUAGUUGGUGAGGUAACGGCUCACCAAGGCGACGAUGCGUAGCCGGCCUGAGAGGGUGACCGGCCACACUGGGACUGAGACACGGCCCAGACUCCUACGGGAGGCAGCAGUAGGGAAUCUUCCGCAAUGGACGAAAGUCUGACGGAGCGACGCCGCGUGAGCGAAGAAGGCCUUCGGGUCGUAAAGCUCUGUUGUGAGGGACGAAGGAGCGCCGUUUGAAUAAGGCGGCGCGG
rnacentral:rRNA from 1 species